rnacentral:rRNA from 1 species
UACAGAGGGUGCAAGCGUUGUUCGGAAUUACUGGGCGUAAAGCGCACGUAGGCGGCUUUGUAAGUUAGAGGUGAAAGCCCGGGGCUCAACUCCGGAACUGCCUUUAAGACUGCAUCGCUUGAAUCCGGGAGAGGUGAGUGGAAUUCCGAGUGUAGAGGUGAAAUUCGUAGAUAUUCGGAAGAACACCAGUGGCGAAGGCGGCUCACUGGACCGGUAUUGACGCUGAGGUGCGAAAGCGUGGGGAGCAAACAGG